UACGUAGGGGGCAAGCGUUGUCCGGAAUCAUUGGGCGUAAAGAGCGUGUAGGCGGCCAGAAAAGUCCGCUGUGAAAACUCGAGGCUCAACUUCGAGCUGUCGGUGGAAACUUUCUGGCUAGAGUCCGGAAGAGGAGAGUGGAAUUCCGUGGUGUAGCGGUGAAAUGCGCAGAUAUCAGGAAGAACACCCGUGGCGAAGGCGGCUCUCUGGGACGGUACUGACGCUGAGCACGCGAAAGCGUGGGGAGCGAACAGGG
rnacentral:rRNA from 1 species